AUAGAGACUCAGAGCUGCAUAUCAAUAAGCGGAGGAAAAGAAACUAACUAGGAUUCCCUUAGUAACGGCGAGUGAAGCGGGAAGAGCUCAAAUUUGAAAUCUUCAAGGUUCUACCUUGACGAAUUGUAGUUUAAAGAAGUGUUUUCUGUUGGAGUUUUGGUAAAAGUUCUUUGGAAUAGGACAUCAUAGAGGGUGAGAAUCCCGUAUUUGACCAUUAUUUCAGCUGUGUGAUACACUUUCAAAGAGUCGGAUUGUUUGGGAAUGCAGUCCAAAAUGGGUGGUAAAUUUCAUCUAAAGCUAAAUAUUGGCGAGAGACCGAUAGCGAACAAGUACCGUGAGGGAAAGAUGAAAGGAACUUUGAAAAGAGAGUUAAACAGUACGUGAAAUUGUCAAAAGGGAAGCGUUUGACACCAGUGUUGUUUUUCCGAAAAUCAAUUACGAAUGGCUUGAUUUUGUGUUGUAUUGACCUUAUCAGCUUUCUUCACUUUUUUCGAGUCUUUCUUAAUGCACUUUUCGGUUAACAAGUCAACAUCAAUUUCUUUUGUUGUAAAAGAGUAUUCGGAAGGUGGCUCUCUUUUCGGAGAAAGUGUUUAUAGCCUUUGAUCUCUGCAAUCGGAGAGACUGAGGUCUGCAGCGUAGAUCCUUCGGGGUUAGAUACAUUUGUGCUAAGUUGUAGCUUUUCAUAGACAACUUGUUGACUGUGUUUAGUCAUGCGGCUUACUCGCUUAUGCUAUUUUACCUACGCUUAGGAUGUUGACGAUCAGCUGAGCGCG
rnacentral:rRNA from 1 species